rnacentral:sRNA from 1 species
UUUUAGGAUAUCAGAUAUAAGUAAAUAUUCUCCUGGAUUAUCUAGUGUUUUUAAUGCUAAACAAUAUAUAUUCUACAAUGAUACCUAAUUUUUUAAAAUCCAAGAGUAAGAAUGCUUAGUAAUAGAAGCUACAUCACCUCAGUUGUCUUUGUUGUGAUAUUCUGUCAUCUAAGAUUUUGCAAAAUUCUUUUCUCUCCACAGACAUGCGAGGAUUCAUGACAGCACAUGGACAGCCAGACCAGCCUCGAUCUGCGCGCUACAUCCUGAAGGACUAUGUCAGUGGUAAGCUGCUGUACUGCCAUCCUCCUCCUGGAACAGAUCCUGUAACUUUUCAGCAUCAACACCAGCGACUCCUACAGAACAAAAUGAACAGUGAUGAAAUAAAAAUGCAGCUAGGCAGAAAUAAAAAAGCAAAGCAGAUUGAAAAUAUCGUUGACAAAACUUUUUUCCAUCAAGAGAAUGUGAGGGCUUUGACCAAAGGAGUCCAGGCUGUGAUGGGUUACAAGCCCGGGAGUGGUGUAGUGACUGCAGCCGCUGUGAGCUCUGAGAACGGGGCGGGGAAGCCCUGGAAGAAACAUGGCAACAGAAAU